GACGGGGGGGGCAAGCGUUGUUCGGAAUUACUGGGCGUAAAGGGCACGCAGGCGGUGCGGCGCGUUUCGCGUGACAGCGGAGGGCUUAACUCUCCGAGGAUGCGAAAGACGGCGGCACUUGAGGGCCAGAGAGGGACACGGAAUCCGGGUGGAGUGGUGAAAUGCGUAGAGAUCCGGAGGAACACCGAAGGCGAAGGCAGUGUCCUGGCUGGUGACUGACGCUGAGGUGCGAAAGCUAGGGGAGCAAACGGG
rnacentral:rRNA from 1 species